rnacentral:misc_RNA from 1 species
GCAAGAUUGUUUGUAUAAGGAUCUCAUGCUGCAUGUCAGUGAAGCAGGAAAUUGUAGCUCCAAUAAGCGAACUGCAAAAGAUAUUACAUUUGCCAAGUUUUUCAGAAAUGAUGUAGCAGGUGCUGCCAGUCCAUCAAAGCCUGAUACUCUGGGUAAUCCUCAGGUUGAUUCCCUUGCAGAUCACGAUCUUUUGGAGAUGUUUGUGUGGCCGUGGAUUGGGGUUGUUGUGAACCUUCCCACUGAAUUUAAG